rnacentral:rRNA from 1 species
AUUGAACGCUGGCGGCAUGCCUUACACAUGCAAGUCGAACGGCAGCGGACCUUCGGGUGCCGGCGAGUGGCGAACGGGUGAGUAAUGCAUCGGAACGUGCCAUUGAGUGGGGGAGUAACGUAGCGAAAGUUGCGCUAAUACCGCAUAUUCUGUGAGCAGGAAAGCAGGGGACCGGCAAGGCCUUGCGCUCUUUGAGCGGCCGAUGUCAGAUUAGCUAGUUGGUGAGGUAACGGCUUACCAAGGCGACGAUCUGUAGCUGGUCUGAGAGGAUGAUCAGCCACACUGGGACUGAGACACGGCCCAGACUCCUACGGGAGGCAACAGUGGGGAAUAUUGGACAAUGGGCGCAACGCCUGAUCCAGACAACGCCGCGUGGAUGAAGAAGGUCUUCGG